rnacentral:rRNA from 1 species
UACAGAGGGUGCAAGCGUUAAUCGGAAUUACUGGGCGUAAAGGGCGCGUAGGCGGUUAUUUAAGUGAGAUGUGAAAUCCCUGGGCUUAACCCAGGAACUGCAUCUUAUACUGGAUAACUGGAGUACAGUAGAGGGCAGUGGAAUUUCCGGUGUAGCGGUGAAAUGCGUAGAUAUCGGAAGGAACACCAGUGGCGAAGGCGACUGCCUGGACUGAUACUGACGCUGAGGCGCGAAAGCGUGGGGAGCAAACAGG